rnacentral:pre_miRNA from 1 species
AGAAUAAGACGACAUGGCGUGAUGUUGUUUCGGCUCAUGCAUAUCCUUCUUGAGUGUAUCAUCAGGAAAGAGGCGAUGAGCCGAACCAAUAUCACUCAUGUAUUCUUCAUU